GAUGAACGCUGGCGGCGUGCCUAAUACAUGCAAGUCGAACGAGGUGCUUUGUAGCAAUACGAAGUAUCCUAGUGGCGAACGGGUGAGUAACGCGUUGGUGACCUACCCCAAAGUGUGGGAUAACAGUCCGAAAGGAUUGCUAAUACCGCAUGUGGUCUCUGGGUUUAGAAACCGGUGACUAAAGGAGCAAUUCGCUUUGGGAGGGACCUGCGUCCCAUCAGCUAGUUGGUGAGGUAACGGCUCACCCAGGCGACGACGGGUAGGGGACCUGAGGGUGUGGCCCCCCACAAUGGAACUGAGACACGGUCCAUACACCUACGGGUGGCAGCAGUAGGGAAUAUUGGUCAAUGGGCGAAAGCCUGAACCAGCAACGCCGCGUGUGCGAUGAAGGCCUUCGGGUCGUAAGCACUUCUCUGGGAGAUGAGAAAGGACAGUAUCCCAGGAAUAAGUCUCGGCUAACUACGUGCCAGCCGCCGCCGUAACAC
rnacentral:rRNA from 1 species